UUCCCGUCCGGCCAUCACGAACCCACCAGUUACUGCCAUUCUCUCCAAUCCGGUUCAUAUUCUCCUUUGCUUCCUCCUUGUCCAAUUUUCGUGCCUUAUCGAAGGAAGAGCUUUUGCUGUGGUAGGUUUUUUGUGUCACUGGCCUGCAUGUUAAGGGAGAACUCAAAUGAAAUCAUCAAAUCAAACUCAAAACUGACAUCUUUUACAACAUUCUGAUACCAUGUUAAACUAUCAUUGGCUCGAAAAACUUAAAAGGUUUAUGGGUAUUAGCUCCAUUUUCACAAAAACCCGGAUUUCUCAACCAUCAUACACAUGAUCCAUGUACCAAUCAUCAUCUAGAGAAGCUCAUGAAUGAAGCAUAUAGGACCAAAUGAUUGAGAUUUAGGCUCAAAGGACUGGGAUAAUCCAAAGAAAAACACCAUUUUCAGGAAAUCAGAAAAGCUUACUUGAGGAACAUGGAGUUCACUGUCUGGGCUCCCCUAGAAAACACCCCUGCCAUCUCUCUCUCUCAAUGUGUGUGUUGGGAUUGAGUGAUCCAUUUUCUGUGUUUUGAAUGGCAUAUAUAUAGAGAGAGAGAGUUGAAGGCUUGAAAGCAGUUAUGAACUGAGACGUCAUUUUCUGUUUAGAAAUCGGAUAAAAGAGGGGGUUGAAGAGUGUGCAGUUUGAGGAUUACAAAAAGAAGAUGCUGUUAUCCAACACUCCAUACUCUUAUCUUCAAGCCUUAGCUUUUGGCCCAUUCCCAGCUGCAUAUCGUGAAUGAUGAUUUCUUCCCAUUCAUCUCUUUUGGAUUGGAUUGGAGUUGGUUUUGGAUUUGGAACUUUGGAUGGGAUUUCCAAUUUUCAGUUUUGUGAUAAUGGGACCAGCUUCAUUGCAGAGGAUCAUCUACCCUUUUGAAAUUGCAGUGAAAAAGACCUUCACAUUUUCACACGAUCUUUUUAAAGCUGUGUAUGAAUUUAUCUACAAUUUCUAUUAAAAAAAAAAACCUCAUGAGUGGCUAUUGGAAUUAAAGUUUACCCAAUUCUAAAAAUUUUAUUAAAUAUGACAUAGUUACUUGUAUAAUUUUUUUUUAUUUUUUUUUAUUUUACAAAAGCCAUUAUAUUUCUAAUUUUGUUAUUAAUUUUUUUAAUAAAAUUAGCCAAAACAGUAUAAAAAAUAAAUAAGAAAAACAUUGUCAUUUAAAAAAAAAUUAGCAAUAUUUCUAAUUACCAAUUUCCAAAAUCCAAGUGAAUCUGUACUUGAAAUUUCCUAAAAUCUUUUUCCUUUCCUAGUGCUUUGAAAUGGAAUCAAAGCCUGAGGGAUUACUGUCCAAGGGAUUGAAAGAACAAAAGGAGUCGGGAUUAAACGCAGCAAUCAAAGAAUAGUACAAAUUUUGAUUCAAGAACAAAUGGCGGAAUCCACAUUUACAAACUCAAGUGCCCUAUCAACCACAGACCCCAAAAGAAUUACUAACCCCUUUAUCAUCAUCCAUAACAUCACCCUAACUCAAAAUAUAACCAACAUCAAAAUUAAAUAAUCAAGGGAAGAGAAAAAUUUUACUGGAAGAAAGAAAAAGAUAAAAGAAAAAAAAUGCUUACUAUGAUUACAAGGAUUGGGCUGGCAAAUCCACAAUGGGUUCUGCUGCUUGCUGUCUAAUUUACAGAGACAAGGUUGAAGCAAAUUAUGCAUUAGGUGCUCCCAUGAGAUCGGACCGAUGAGAUUGAUUGUGCUGAGACUGAGGCCGU
rnacentral:lncRNA from 1 species